rnacentral:rRNA from 1 species
UACGUAGGGGGCAAGCGUUGUCCGGAAUCAUUGGGCGUAAAGAGCGUGUAGGCGGCCAGAUAAGUCCGCUGUGAAAUCUCGAGGCUCAACUUCGAGCUGUCGGUGGAAACUGUCUGGCUAGAGUCCGGAAGAGGAGAAUGGAAUUCGUGGUGUAGCGGUGAAAUGCGCAGAUAUCAGGAAGAACACCCGUGGCGAAGGCGGUUCUCUGGGACGGUACUGACGCUGAGACGCGAAAGCGUGGGGAGCGAACAGG